rnacentral:tRNA from 7 species
CGGGACAUAGCUCAGCCUGGUAGAGCGCUUGCUUUGGGAGCAAGAUGCCGACGGUUCGAAUCCGCCUGUCCCGACCA